rnacentral:ncRNA from 1 species
AAUCUUAAAAAAGCUAUUGACAUUUCAUUCUGAAAGAGUUAUAAUAAUAAAGCUCUCAAAAAUAACAUAUCGCGGGAUGGAGCAGUUUGG